GAUUUCUGGACAUCAGUUUCUGGCCGGCCACGGUUUCGUGUGUUAGUGCUUGAAGCUUUGUCCAUCCUUCCAAUCGCUAUUGGUGGAUCUUCAUUGAUUCGAUCAGUAGUAUUGGAUCUUUUACUUUGAAAAAAUUAGAGUGUUUCAAGCAGGCUUUAUGCUAUGAAUACAUUAGCAUGGAAUAAUAAUUUAGGACUUCGGUUCUAUUUUGUUGGUUUCUAGGACUGAAGUAAUGAUUGAUAGGGAUAGUUGGGGGUGCUAGUAUUCAGCGGCCAGAGGUGAAAUUCUCGGAUUCGCUGAAGACUAACUUAUGCGAAAGCAUU
rnacentral:rRNA from 2 species